rnacentral:misc_RNA from 1 species
GAUGAAGAACGUAGCGAAAUGCGAUACGUAAUGUGAAUUGCAGAAUUCAGUGAAUCAUCGAAUCUUUGAACGCAUAUUGCGCUCUCUGGUAUUCCGGAGAGCAUGCUUGUUUGAGUAUCAGUAAACACCUCAACUUCCAUAUCUUUUUUGAAAUGGGAGUUGGACUUGAGUGAUCCCAACGCUUUUCCUCACCGAAAAGUGGCGGGUUACUUGAAAUGCAGGUGCAGCUGGACUUUUCUCUGAGCUAUAAGCAUAUCUAUUUAGUCUGCCUAAAAAACAGAUUAUUACCUUUGCUGCAGCUAACAUAAAGGAGAUUAGUUCUUGUGCUGACUGAUGCAGGAUUCACAAAGACGGCUUCGGCCGACUUUGUAAACUCGAUCUCAAAUCAAGUAAGACUACCCGCUGAACUUAAGCAUAUCAGUAAGCGGAGGA